rnacentral:rRNA from 1 species
UACAGAGGUCUCAAGCGUUGUUCGGAUUCAUUGGGCGUAAAGGGUGCGUAGGUGGCGCCAUAAGUCAGGUGUGAAAUCUCGGGGCUCAACCUCGAAACUGCACUUGAUACUGUGGUGCUUGAGUACUGGAGAGGAGAUUGGAAUUUACGGUGUAGCAGUGAAAUGCGUAGAUAUCGUAAGGAAGACCAGUGGCGAAGGCGAAUCUCUGGACAGUUACUGACACUGAGGCACGAAGGCCAGGGGAGCAAACGGGG